rnacentral:rRNA from 1 species
AUUGAACGCUGGCGGCAUGCUUUACACAUGCAAGUCGAACGGUAACAGGCCGCAAGGUGCUGACGAGUGGCGAACGGGUGAGUAAUGCAUCGGAACGUGCACAGUCGUGGGGGAUAACUACUCGAAAGAGUAGCUAAUACCGCAUACGAUCUAUGGAUGAAAGCGGGGGACCGUAAGGCCUCGCGCGAUUGGAGCGGCCGAUGUCAGAUUAGGUAGUUGGUGGGGUAAAGGCUCACCAAGCCAACGAUCUGUAGCUGGUCUGAGAGGACGACCAGCCACACUGAGACUGAGACACGGCCCAGACUCCUACGGGAGGCAGCAGUGGGGAAUUUUGGACAAUGGGCGCAAGCCUGAUCCAGCAAUGCCGCGUGCAGGAAGAAGGCCUUCGGGUUGUAAACUGCUUUUGUACGGAACGAAACGGCUCUGGUUAAUACCCGGGGCUAAUGACGGUACCGUAAGAAUAAGCACCGGCUAACUACGUG